GUUCUUUUGUGGUUGGUUCAUAAGUGUGAUGACUGGGUUUUCUCGCCAUUGUGAGAGAUGUACCUCCCUCAAACCUUGUUAGGAUGUCAGUAUAUUACUAGACUUAUC
ensembl:snoRNA